rnacentral:rRNA from 1 species
UACGUAGGGUGCGAGCGUUAAUCGGAAUUACUGGGCGUAAGCGUGCGCAGGCGGUUCGUUGUGUCCGUCGUGAAAGCCCCGGGCUUAACCUGGGAACUGCGAUGGAAACUAGCGAGGCUGGAGUGUGGCAGAGGGGGUGGAAUUCCGCGUGUAGCAGUGAAAUGCGUAGAGAUGCGGAGGAACACCGAUGGCGAAGGCAGCCCCCUGGGCUAACACUGAUGCUCAGGCACGAAAGCGUGGGGAGCAAACAGG